AGCAACGCCGCUCGGGGUCGGAGAGCAAGCGUUUUCGCUCGAGCUUUCUGUGUGACUCUCUCUCUCGGUUUAGCCUCUGUGCCCAGAGGUUCCAUCCCUAAGCUAUGGGGUGUCUUCUCUCCUUUGGAAGGACUUUAGAGAUGGCAGUUGUGACUUGCCUGGUAUGUCUGCCUCACCUGGUUUGAAGGAUGCGCGACACCCUUCACCUGGCCAAAUCCUUCAAGCCCCGUUUCCAUGAAGCUUUCUCUGAAUGCUUUUGCCUUUGAACUCUUGA